rnacentral:rRNA from 1 species
UUCCUACGGGGGGCAGCAGUGAGGAAUAUUGGUCAAUGGACGAGAGUCUGAACCAGCCAACUAGCGUGAAGGAUGACUGCCCUGUGGGUUGUAAACUUCUUUUAUAUGGGAAUAAAGUUUUCCACGUGUGGAAUUUUGUAUGUACCAUAUGAAUAAGGAUCGGCUAACUCCGUGCCAGCAGCCGCGGUACUACGGAGGAUCCGAGCUUUAUCCGGAUUUAUUGGGUUUAAAGGGAGCGUAGGUGGAUUGUUAAGUCAGUUGUGAAAGUUUGCGGCUCAACCGUAAAAUUGCAGUUGAAACUGGCA